UACGUAGGGUGCGAGCGUUAAUCGGAAUUACUGGGCGUAAAGCGUGCGCAGGCGGUUGGUUAAGUCAGAUGUGAAAGCCCCGGGCUCAACCUGGGAAUUGCAUUUGAAACUGGCCAACUAGAGUACGUGAGAGGGGGGUAGAAUUCCAAGUGUAGCGGUGAAAUGCGUAGAGAUUUGGAGGAAUACCAGUGGCGAAGGCGGCCCCCUGGCCCGAUAUUGACGCUGAGGUGCGAAAGCGUGGGGAGCAAACAGG
rnacentral:rRNA from 1 species